rnacentral:rRNA from 1 species
UACGGAGGGUGCAAGCGUUAUCCGGAUUCACUGGGCUUAAAGGGUGCGUAGGUGGGUUGGUAAGUCAGUGGUGAAAUCCCCGAGCUUAACUUGGGAACUGCCAUUGAUACUAUUAAUCUUGAAUACUGUGGAGGUCAGCGGAAUAUGUCAUGUAGCGGUGAAAUGCUUAGAUAUGACAUAGAACACCAAUUGCGAAGGCAGCUGGCUACACAAAUAUUGACACUGAGGCACGAAAGCGUGGGGAUCAAACAGG